rnacentral:rRNA from 1 species
UGUACACGCUGUGACUAGCAUAUCAAUAAGCGGAGGAAAAGAAACUAACAAGGAUUCCCCUAGUAACGGCGAGUGAAGCGGGAAGAGCUCAAAUUUGAAAUCUUAAAGGGUUUCCCUUUACGAAUUGUAGUUUAAAGAAGUGUUUUCUGUUGAGGUUUUGGUAAAAGUUCUUUGGAAUAGGACAUCAUAGAGGGUGAGAAUCCCGUAUUUGACCUUUACUUUCAACUUUGUGAUACACUUUCAAAGAGUCGGAUUGUUUGGGAAUGCAGUCCAAAAUGGGUGGUAAAUUUCAUCUAAAGCUAAAUAUUGGCGAGAGACCGAUAGCGAACAAGUACCGUGAGGGAAAGAUGAAAAGAACUUUGAAAAGAGAGUUAAACAGUACGUGAAAUUGUCAAAAGGGAAGCGUUUGACAUCAGUGUUGUUUUUCUGAAAAUCAAUUAAAGAACUGUUUAUGCUAAGUUGUUUAGACUUUAUCAGCUAUCUGUUUAGUUUUGAGCUUUUCUUUAAUGCACUUUUCAGUCAACAAGUCAACAUCAAUUUCUUUUGCUGUAAAAAAGCUUGAGGAAGGUGGCUUGAGAUUCGUCUUAAGUGUUUAUAGCCUCUUGCCUAUGCAGUCGGAGAGAUUGAGGUCUGCAGCGUAGAUCCUUCGGGGCUAAAUGCAUUUGUGCUAAGUUAUAGCAUUUUAUAGACAACUUGUUGACUAUGAUUUGUCUUGUAGCUUACUCGCUUAUGUUAUUUUACCUACGCUUAGGAUGUUGAAGAUGUAGCACAUCAU